CUCAGAUUGAACGCUGGCGGAAUGCUUUACACAUGCAAGUCGAACGGCAGCACGGGGCAACCUGGUGGCGAGUGGCGAACGGGUGAGUAAUACAUCGGAACGUGCCCAAUCGUGGGGGAUAACGUAGCGAAAGUUACGCUAAUACCGCAUACGAUCUACGGAUGAAAGCGGGGGAUCGCAAGACCUCGCGCGAAUGGAGCGGCCGAUGUCAGAUUAGGUAGUUGGUGGGGUAAAGGCUCACCAAGCCAACGAUCUGUAGCUGGUCUGAGAGGACGACCAGCCACACUGGAACUGAGACACGGUCCAGACUCCUACGGGAGGCAGCAGUGGGGAAUUUUGGACAAUGGGCGCAAGCCUGAUCCAGCCAUUCCGCGUGCAGGAUGAAGGCCUUCGGGUUGUAAACUGCUUUUGUACGGAACGAAAAGGUCCUGGUUAAUACCUGGGGCUCAUGACGGUACCGUAAGAAUAAGCACCGGCUAACUACGUG
rnacentral:rRNA from 1 species